AUGUCUAGGAUAAUGUACCAAGGUGGUUCCUCAACAAAAAGAGGACCCAGGCGUGCUAUGUGUGAGCAAGACGAUGAACCACCAAGGGAAGCUGAGGUGCGGCCUUGUGAAUGGUCGUCAGAAGAGUUUAUGGUUAGUGCAGGCAUCAAGGAUGAAUUUGAUGCAUAUGUGCGUAAUGCCGAUCUUGAGGACUUCAUACAAGAUAAGUGUCCUCAAUACUACCAAUUGACUGAUUCAUUCGUGAGAAGGUUUAAAUUUACAUCUUCGUGUAAUUCUCAGAAUGUCCUAUUUGAUAUUUAUGAUCAAUCUUAUACCAUGGACCUAGAAGAUUUCACAACUGCUUGCAAACUCCCACAGCGGGGCAAUGUUAAUGAACCCCACAAAUCCGAAUAUAAAGACUUUCUUGCUAGUAUCACUGUGGGAGAAUCUAGAGAUAUAGCACAAGCUACCAUAGGGAGCAUUCAUUUUCCUGCUAUACUUUAUUUUGCUCUCUUCAUUGGUAGAUGCAUUAACGGUAAAGAUUAA
rnacentral:rRNA from 1 species